GACGAACGCUGGCGGCGUGCUUAACACAUGCAAGUCGAACGGAAAGGCCCUGCUUUUGUGGGGUGCUCGAGUGGCGAACGGGUGAGUAACACGUGAGUAACCUGCCCUUGACUUUGGGAUAACUUCAGGAAACUGGGGCUAAUACCGGAUAGGAGCUCCUGCUGCAUGGUGGGGGUUGGAAAGUUUCGGCGGUUGGGGAUGGACUCGCGGCUUAUCAGCUUGUUGGUGGGGUAGUGGCUUACCAAGGCUUUGACGGGUAGCCGGCCUGAGAGGGUGACCGGCCACAAUGGGACUGAGAUACGGCCCAGACGGCUACGGGAGGCAGCAGUGGGGAAUAUUGCACAAUGGGCGGAAGCCUGAUGUAGCAACGCCGCGUGCGGGAUGACGGCCUUCGGGUUGUAAACCGCUUUCGCCUGUGACGAAGCGUGAGUGACGGUAAUGGGUAAAGAAGCACCGGCUAACUACGUG
rnacentral:rRNA from 1 species